UCCUGGUGGCGAGUGGCGAACGGGUGAGUAAUAUAUCUUNACGUGCCCAGUCGUGGGGGAUAACGCAGCGAAGGCUGUGCUAAUACCGCAUACGAUCUAUGGAUGAAAGCGGGGGACUCGUAAGGGCCUCGCGCGAUUGGAGCGGCCGAUAUCAGAUUAGCUAGUUGGUGGGGUAAAAGCCCACCAAGGCGACGAUCUGUAGCUGGUCUGAGAGGACGACCAGCCACACUGGAACUGAGACACGGUCCAGACUCCUACGGGAGGCAGCAGUGGGGAAUUUUGGACAAUGGGCGCAAGCCUGAUCCAGCAAUGCCGCGUGCAGGAUGAAGGCCUUCGGGUUGUAAACUGCUUUUGUACGGAACGAAACGGUGAGCUCUAAUAAAGUUUGCUAAUGGCGGUACCGUAAGAAUAAGCACCGGCUAACUACGUGCCAGCAGCCGCGGUAAUACGUAGGGUGCAAGCGUUAAUCGGAAUUACUGGGCGUAAAGCGUGCGCAGGCGGUGAUGUAAGACAGAUGUGAAAUCCCCGGGCUCAACCUGGGACCUGCAUUUGUGACUGCAUCGCUAGAGUACGGUAGAGGGGAAUGGAAUUCCGCGUGUAGCAGUGAAAUGCGUAGAUAUG
rnacentral:rRNA from 1 species